GAUUAACGCUAGCGGUGCGCCUAAUACAUGCAAGUCGAGCGGGGGUAAUUGGUGACACCCAGACAUCGGUGAGAUGUUUGAGUGUUGCUGGUUACUCUAGCGGCGAACGGGUGAGUAACACGUCGGUCAUCUACCCUGGAGUGGGGGAUACCCAGCCGAAAGGUUGGUUAAUACCCCAUAGCCAUGAGGGGGCAUAUGCCAUUCUCAUGUAAAGCAGCAAUGCGCUUCAGGACGAGCCUGCGUUCCAUCAGGUAGUUGGCGGGAUAACAGCCCACCAAGCCUACGACGGAUAGCUGGUGUGAGAGCACGACCAGCCACAAUGGGACUGCGACACGGGCCAGACUCCUACGGAGGCAGCAGUAAGGAAUAUUGCGCAAUGGGCGAAAGCCUGACGCAGCGACGC
rnacentral:rRNA from 1 species